rnacentral:rRNA from 1 species
GGUCGAUUGAUCCUGCCGGACCUGACUGCUAUCGGAUUGAUACUAAGCCAUGUGCCUGAUUGUAGUAAUACAAGGCAGACGGCUCAGUAACACGUAGCGGUUCUAACCUAUGGACGGGGAUAACCUCGGGAAACUGAGGAUAAACCCCGAUAGAUCAUUAUGCCUGGAAAGGUUUAUGGUCCACCUGAUUCGUCGCCGUAGGAUGAGACUGCGGCCUAUCAGCUUGUUGGUGAGGUAAUGGCCCACCAAGGCUAUUACAGGUACGGGCUCUGAGAUGAGAAGCCCGGAGAUGGGUACUGAGACACGGACCCAGGCCCUAUGGGGCGCAGCAGGCGAGAAACCUUUGCAAUGUGCGCAAGCACGACAAGGUUAAUCCGAGUGUUUCCUGCUAAAGGAAUCUUUUGUUAGUCCUAAAAACACUAGUGAAUAAGGGGUGGGCAAGUUCUGGUGUCAGCCGCCGCGGUAAAACCAGCACCUCAAGUGGUCAGGAGGAUUAUUGGGCCUAAAGCAUCCGUAGCUUGCUCUGUAAGUUUCCGGUUAAAUCCAUUAGCUCAACUAAUUCCCUGCCGGAAAUACGUCAAAGCUAGGGAGUGGGAGAGGUAGACGGUACUCGGUAGGAAGGGGUAAAAUCCUUUGAUCUAUUGAUGACCACCUGUGGCGAAGGCCCUCUACCAGAACACGUUCGACAGUGAGGGAUGACAUUGGGGGGAGCAAACCGGAUUAGAUACCCGGGUAGUCCCAGCUGUAAACGAUGCAGACUCGAUGAUGCACUGGCUUGUGGCCAGUGCAGUGUCGCAGGGAAGCCGUUGCGUUUGCCGCCUGGGAAGUACGUACGCAAACUAUUACA